rnacentral:rRNA from 1 species
GAUGAACGCUGGCGGCGUGCCUAAUACAUGCAAGUCGAGCGAACGGACGAGAAGCUUGCUUCUCUGAUGUUAGCGGCGGACGGGUGAGUAACACGUGGAUAACCUACCUAUAAGACUGGGAUAACUUCGGGAAACCGGAGCUAAUACCGGAUAAUAUUUUGAACCGCAUGGUUCAAAAGUGAAAGACGGUCUUGCUGUCACUUAUAGAUGGAUCAGCGCUGCAUUAGCUAGUUGGUAAGGUAACGGCUUACCAAGGCAACGAUGCAUAGCCGACCUGAGAGGGUGAUCGGCCACACUGGAACUGAGACACGGUCCAGACUCCUACGGGAGGCAGCAGUAGGGAAUCUUCCGCAAUGGGCGAAAGCCUGUCGGAGCAACGCCGCGUGAGUGAUGAAGGUCUUCGGAUCGUAAAACUCUGUUAUUAGGGAAGAACAUAUGUGUAAGUAACUGUGCACAUCUUGACGGUACCUAAUCAGAAAGCCACGGCUAACUACGUG